GACGAACGCUGGCGGCGUGCUUAACACAUGCAAGUCGAACGGAAAGGCCCUGCUUUUGUGGGGUGCUCGAGUGGCGAACGGGUGAGUAACACGUGAGUAACCUGCCCUUGACUUUGGGAUAACUUCAGGAAACUGGGGCUAAUCCCGGAUAGGAGCUCCUGCUGCAUGAUGGGGUUUGGAAAGUUUCGGCGGUUGGGGAUGGACUCGCGGCUUAUCAGCUUGUUGGUGGGGUAGUGGCUUACCAAGGCUUUGACGGGUAGCCGGCCUGAGAGGGUGACCGGCCACAUUGGGACUGAGAUACGGCCCAGACUCCUACGGGAGGCAGCAGUGGGGAAUAUUGCACAAUGGGCGGAAGCCUGAUGCAGCAACGCCGCGUGCGGGAUGACGGCCUUCGGGUUGUAAACCGCUUUCGCCUGUGACGAAGCGUGAGUGACGGUAAUGGGUAAAGAAGCACCGGCUAACUACGUG
rnacentral:rRNA from 1 species